rnacentral:rRNA from 1 species
AUUGAACGCUGGCGGCAGGCCUAACACAUGCAAGUCGAACGAGUGGCGGACGGGUGAGUAAUGUCUGGGAAACUGCCUGAUGGAGGGGGAUAACUACUGGAAACGGUAGCUAAUACCGCAUACCAUCAGAUGUGCCCAGAUGGGCUUAGCUAGUUGGUGGGGUAACGGCUUACAAAGGCGACGAUACCUAGCUGGUCUGAGAGGAGGACCAGCCAAACUGUAACGGGGACACGGUCCAGACUCCUACGGGAGGCAGCAGGGGGGAAUAUUGCACAAUGGGCGCAAUCCUGAUGCAGCCAUGCCGCGUGUAGGAAUAAGGCCUUCGGGUUGUAAAGUACUUUCAGCGGGUAGGCGUUACCCGCAGAAGAAGCACCGGCUAACUCCGUGCCAGCCGCCGCGGUAAUUC